GCAUUGUUUUUAGCAUUCACAGUAGGAUGUAGCAUAUCAAGCAGCAUUAGUGAAGAGAACGCGUGUAGUUACAUACUAAACACACCGUCUCCAACUGCCACUCAGCGAUGCUAACAUAUCAACUGUUACUAUAUGGUUAACUAUCAUGUAUACAGCUAUUUAAAUGCUUAUGAAUGGAUGUUUAGCUACGUCAAUAGAGGGCAACGGAAUAUGACGCCGCCAACCAAUGGGAGAAGACUGGAAGUACCAGAGAGUUUAUAAUCGGAGCUGAAACGUUUAUACGGCCCCUCUCCCGUCGCAGCCUCAGAGGAACGUCAUGUUUACUAUAAUUAAAACCCUGUCCAUUUUACAAGAAGUGUCUUGGAUUCUUUCUGGCCAUUACUCCUCCCAGCAUUCCGAAACCCAACAGUAGGCUAUAGAGUCGUGCAGUGACACGUCCUAAAAUCAUAAAUCUUUCGAUUCGAUUUAUGAUUAUAAAAGUAGGGUAGACAUGUGGAGAUUAUCCGACUGAACAAAACGUGAUCCGUCUCUUAAAUGUGUGUCAACCACAGACAUUAUUUCGAGCUAUUUUCCAAAAUCCUAUGGCGAAAUUGCAUAGCUUUUUUGUCGAGGGAACCAGAAGGAACUUACUUCCGGGUUUUAGGACGCUUCACGACACCACUCUAUUACUAUGAAGUAAUAAGUACAGUACUUGAGUAAAUCUACGUAAUUACUUUACAUCACUGAAUUAAGCCAUAGGCCUACCUCACCUCAACAGCUGCUUUAGCAACCUCUACUUCCAGUUGGGAAUCAUGCACUCACUCUCUGCCUAUACCAUUUUGGGUACAAAAGCGACGGAUGUUUGUUUGGAAGAACCCUUUUGUUAAGCCACAUUCAUAGUGGAGAUGAUCGGAUAUAUUUUGAUCAGUAUAACCAUCUUUUAUCAUACUUUGUAUAACUUCUCUGUAGGCCAACAAACUGGACUCCAUUAUUAUUAAUAAGGAGGGUGACUAUAUUUCCCGCGAUCAAACUUUCCUGUCAUGCGCACAGCAGUCCUGGUGUAAAUUGAUGGUGCAUUUACGGCACCAUACCGUAAAUGCACCCUGUGUAAUGCACACAUUACCGCCAAGAACGACUUGUCGGACACGGCGAUAGCAAUAUAUUGUUAACAAUAAAAACGGAGAUGGAGUCAUACUUUCUUUUCAGAGGCAGCCAGCGAGUUACUCUUAAAAUAGACGACAUGCGCGUCGACAGAAUCAGCCGGAUUUUUCAGGUCAACGCAGGUAGCCUUUUCAUCACUGAUGCCGCCAACGUUGCGGUUUUUCCAUUGGAUAGUGGGUCUUUCUGCUCCCUGGACCUCUCUGAUCACGGCCAUUAUGAGGUUCAUGGGGAAAAACCUGGGGAGACUCAAAGGAUCCAGACAGAGCCAGCUGAGUCACGGCCGUUUGCUUUUCGUCAUAGUCAGCCAAUGUCUACUGCAAACAUGAGUCAGUUGACUAGAUCAAUUAGCACCCCUCGGUCAUUUCAAAGGUCAAUACAUGUGUCAGAAAUAAUGGAUAGAAAGAUUGUUUCCACAAGGGUGGUCAUGAUCAGAUUUGUUGAGUCAGAGGCAAGCGUUCCACUGAUCACAGGAAAAGUGAAUGUGGCCAUGGGAGACAGUGAGGAGUACAUCCUUACAGACACCGUUGGGAAUGAAAUAGUGAGUCUGAAGGGACAAUUGGGUCUUUGUACUGGAAGCCGAAUGCAAGAAAGAUCCAUGCUGUUGAGAGCUCUGCUUUCAGGCAAUGGCGUCGAAGAGGCUCAAGAAGCAGAAAUGAGCUAUCUGAAGUCCACACACUGAGAACUGCUGGAUGCAUCCCAAGGCCUGGAAGAAGUCACCAGGAAGAUUUGUGACAUAGUGGCAGCCAGCCAGGACUUGGUAGUACCAAGGCCAGAAGUCAAACAGGCAGCUGUUUGAUCUGCAGAGACACAAUGACUGGACCCAUGUUUUCCUCCUGCUGCCGAAGCAGCGUGGGAUGCAGGCUCUGUGUGGAGGAGUGGAGGAUAACAUCUCCCCAAUGCCUUAAGUGCAGGGAUCAGGAGCCAGUGUAUACCCAGGUUGCUGGACUGUCUGCAGCACUGGAUGCUUUAAGGGCCCUACCCUAAAGUGGACAGCAGUUCAGUCGUUUAUUGUUUAUUGUUAAGUGGUGUGUGUUCAAAUUCCAGGUUCCAUGAUAUCAUCAUACAGAAAAUGAUUGUUGUAGUUUUCUUUAGCUGUAAGACUUGUUAAUUGUUCAUCUGCAAUGUUUAAUAAAUGGAAAAUUGUUUGAA